rnacentral:rRNA from 1 species
CCUACGGGUGGCAGCAGUGAGGAAUAUUGGUCAAUGGGCGCAAGCCUGAACCAGCCAAGUAGCGUGCAGGAUGACGGCCCUACGGGUUGUAAACUGCUUUUAUACGGGAAUAACGCGCCUUACGUGUAGGGCUUUGCAUGUACCGUAUGAAUAAGGACCGGCUAAUUCCGUGCCAGCAGCCGCGGUAAUACGGAAGAUCCGAGCGUUAUCCGGAUUUAUUGGGUUUAAAGGGAGCGUAGGCGGCAUGUCAAGCGUGCUGUGAAAUGUCCGGGCUCAACUCGGGCCUUGCAGCGCGAACUGGCGUGCUUGAGGCGUCGGAGAGCAGGCGGAAAU